rnacentral:rRNA from 1 species
CCCCUAGUAACGGCGAGUGAAGAGGGAAAAGCCCAGCACCGAAGCCUGCGGUAGUUUUACUGCUAGGCAAUGUGGUGUUUGGGUCGGCUGGCGGGACUGCCACUCCAUUCGAAGUCCAGCAUUGAGUAUGGUACCCUGGAUUUGGCCCAUAGAGGGUGAAAGGCCCGUACGAAUGGAUGUUUCAGACAUGAAAGGCAGUUCAUCAGGCCGACCUUCGAGUCGGGUUGUUUGAGAAUGCAGCCCUAAGCGGGUGGUAAACUCCAUCCAAGGCUAAAUACUAACACGAGUCCGAUAGCGAACAAGUACCGUGAGGGAAAGUUGAAAAGUACUCUGAAGAGAGAGUAAACAGUACGUGAAACCGUAUAAAGGUAAACGGGUGGCGUCAAGCUGCAAGCCUGGAGGAUUCAGCUGGUCAUCAUGUAGUGUAUACGUCCUGUGUAUUUCAGUCGGUAAUAGGCGAGUAGUCCACUGGGUAACGGUGGGCCCGACCGCAAGGUUGGGAUGUAUGUGCCACACGGUUGGUGGUGUACGCUGCUCAACUAUUGGACUGGAUGGCCAGUGCACUUCCUCCGUUAAGGUGAACACCACGACCGGUGGAACUGCCAGUCUGGUAUGGUCAAGUUGUGUCCAAUUGUGCUUUCGGGUGCAUUGGAUGCAAUCACAGGCAAAUUCGGUGGACGGUGAGUAGGUUUCGGCUUGCUCAUGUUAUCGGUCAUCGGUUGUCAACGGGUCUGUUCGUCAGCCUUGGUGUUUGCAGUACCUGGCGGAUGAUCUGGUGGACCAUACUGGUAAGAAUAACUGUGCAGGGCACCGGAGUUAUCGGUCUCAAAUUCCGACUGGCGCAURCACUGCAAGUGUGUGUGGAGAUGCCAUUGCGGCCUGUCGUUGGCUAGGUCUGAUUGUCGUGUUGCCUGCGCAAAGUGGGCCCGGCAGUGGCUUGGCUACGGUUGGUGCAUGUAGUGGUAUUUCUUCGUCAGUUGGUGUGGGCCGUAUAGUCUGUGGUGUAGUGGUAGAUUAGCUACCCGACCCGUCUUGAAACACGGACCAAGGAGUUCAACAUGCACGCGAGUCAAUGGGCACUUCCGAAACCCAAAGGCGCAGUGAAAGUGAAGCUACACGUUGUCUUCGGGCAGCGGGUAGUGUGGUGAGAUCCUGCUGUUACUCGCAUCUGCACUUCUGUGUACUUGUUUGUGUUGGCACAGGGCGCAAAGAGCGGUAGGCGCAUCACCGGCCCGUCUCAUGAUGUGGUCAUUGGUAACCAUUCCAGUGCGUCAUCGUGGCGGAGCAUGAGCGUGCAUGUUGAGACCCGAAAGAUGGUGAACUAUGCUUGCGUAGGUUGAAGCCAGAGGAAACUCUGGUGGAAGACCGCAGCGAUUCUGACGUGCAAAUCGAUCGUCAAACGUGAGUAUAGGGGCGAAAGACUAAU